rnacentral:rRNA from 1 species
GACGUAGGGCGCGAGCGUUGUCCGGAAUUAUUGGGCGUAAAGAGCUCGUAGGCGGUCUGUCGCGUCUGCUGUGAAAAUCCAGGGCUCAACCCUGGACCUGCAGUGGGUACGGGCAGACUAGAGUGCGGUAGGGGAGAUCGGAAUUCCUGGUGUAGCGGUGAAAUGCGCAGAUAUCAGGAGGAACACCGGUGGCGAAGGCGGAUCUCUGGGCCGUAACUGACGCUGAGGAGCGAAAGCAUGGGGAGCGAACAGG